UAACGGCGAGUGAAGCGGCAAAAGCUCAAAUUUGAAAUCCUUCGGGAGUUGUAAUUUGUAGGUUGGGAGACCCCGCGGCUAGUGGCACCAAGUCCCUUGGAACAGGGCGCCUUAGAGGGUGAGAGCCCCGUAGGUACCACAACACCGUCUUGUGUCUCCUCUCCAAAGAGUCGAGUUGUUUGGGAAUGCAGCUCAAAGUGGGUGGUAAAUUCCAUCUAAAGCUAAAUACCGGCGAGAGACCGAUAGCGAACAAGUACAGUGAUGGAAAGAUGAAAAGCACUUUGAAAAGAGAGUGAAACAGUACGUGAAAUUGUUGAAAGGGAAGGGCUUGCAAGCAGACACGGCCUUCGUGCCGGGCCAGCAUCGGUUGCUAGGGGUGGAUAAGGAACAAGGAAUGUAGCUCCUCGGAGUAUUAUAGCCUUGCGCGAUACACCCACUGGCGACCGAGGCCUGCGGUAUUCCUACCUAGGAUGCUGGCGUAAUGGUUGCAAGCCGCCCGUCUUGAAACACGGACCAUG
rnacentral:rRNA from 1 species